rnacentral:tRNA from 1 species
GCCUGGUUGGCUCAGCGGAAGAGAAUGUGACUCUUGAUCUCAGGGUCCUGGGUUUGACCCCCACACUGGGUG